AGAAAAGCGGAUGUUGACUGAUUAUUUCAAAGAGUGAGCGCUAACGUUACUUUUUUUUGUAGUUUCGGUGUCACUCAAACAAAUAUAGACCUAAGCAAGAUAGCAAGACAGUGUGGACUAGGCUAAGUAUUAGCGCCAAGGUACACCAAAUACAGAUAGCGUGCUAGCUAGCAACUGAUGCUGUUUCCAUGGUGAUGAAACUUUACGUUUAACGACAAUUUACAGACAAGAAACUAGCGAGCUGUUGAUGUUAGCUUCGUGGAGUACAAGGAGUUACAACUUAGCUAUUUAAUAGUUAGCUGCACCAACAGCUUGAUUACUAAUGUGAACGGAGAUGUCAUUGGGGUUCCAGUCCUCUGAUCCGCAGAGUAUUGGGCUUCCCAGCAAUAACGGUGCUCCCGUUUUACGAUCUGAACCUUCGCUGAAGCAUGAGACAAAUGCUUUCUUUACAGAGACCCCUGACGCUUCCCUUCGGCUGAGAUUUAACAGCCUGACACUGGAUGAAUUGAGUGAGGAGCUUGAUAGGCGCACCAAGGAAACACAGAGGCUUCAGGACGAAGUGGAAAAUGCAACCAAACAAACCUUGGAGAGGUUUGGCUGCACAUAUGGUACCCUCAGCUCACCUGGACGUAUGUGCCACAACCACAGGUUGAAUGUCUAUGACUCAUCUGAGGAUUCCACCAUUCUUUCAGCCCACCAGCACACAGGGACUCACCCCCUGGUCUAUGAUCACGAUAGUUUAAACCAAGGGGUUACACAUAGGGAUAUCUGCUCUCCUGGAGAAGAGGUGUUUGAAAAUGUCACAAAUGACUGUCUGCCACAGCUGUCUGACUUGCAACUCAACAAGAAACAUGAUCAACCUACACGAGAGACAUUCAGUGGUGACAAAGCUGUCAUGAACCUACAGACUGAGUUGCAUAAAGUCCAGAUGGAGAAGGACGUUCUAUCUGACCUCAGAUUGAAGGAUUCAAGGAAACAUGUUGAUCAGAUGGAAAAGAUGCUGUACAUGUUGGAGGAGCUCCAAAACAUCAAAAGGGCGGGGGACCAGAAGCUGCAGGAGACGGAAGAUGAGGCCUUGGCACUUAACAGGAGGGUAGAGACGUUGGAACAAAACGUAAAGGAAAUGUACUCUUCACUGCUAUCUCCAGAGAAACAAUGUGGAAACAAUGCCAUCACCGGUCGUCACACUGCCACUAGCUCGAGACAGCUAUCCACGGCUCCUACAUUAAUUGAGGAAUUUGACAAUGAGACAGACAGGCUGCAAAAGAGUCUUUUUUUGUCAGCAGAACAAUUGGAGACUGAAGACUGCAAAGGAGCAAAUAAGCAAACAGACAGAAUUGAAGACCUAAUUGCAAGUCUCAGCCAGGAGAUGGUGCUGUUGAAUGACAAACUGAGCUCAUCGAAAGACAACGGUGUCAAUUUAAGUGCCAAGUUGGAGCUGCUAAAGAAACUUGCAGAGAGACAGACAUCACUGCACCAGGUUCAAGUCAGUGAACUUGUGUCAGCUCUCUCUAGCCAUAAACAUACGGUUUAUUGUCUGGAGCAGCAGCUCAUUCAGGCUCAGUCCCAGCUGGUGGACGCCCAGAGAGAGAAAGAGCGAUCUUUACAACAGGCAGAGGAGCUUCAGUACCUGCUUGGUCAACUUAAGAGGUGCAGUGAGCAGCAGCAGUGUGAGCUCCAGGAGGAGGUAAAGGCCCUGAGAGGACAGCUGGAGGUGACCAGGGAGCAGCUCCGCAGAGGUGGGGAGGAGAACACCUGCUUGCAGGCACUGCUGGAACAGAAGGCCCAGGAGGGGAGGAAAUCCCAGGAACUCCUAGAGGAGAAAAACAAAGAAGUCAAGCUCAGGCAGCAAGACGCCCAACAGCAUCUUGCCAAGUUGGAAGAGGCUGAGAGGCGGUGCCAGACCCUGCACGCAGACAGAAAGACACUGAGGCAGAAGGUGGAUGAUCGAGAAAAGAUGAUGAAUGUUCUGAGAUUGCAGAUGGAGAGGAGCAGCCAGAUGACGGUGAAGCACAGCAGCGCCAUCGACAACCUUCACCAGGAGAACAGCCUCCUCAGCAACCAGCUAAACCAGCACAAGCUAGAGAUCCAGCAGCUCAGGGUUGAGUUAGACCAGCGCAAAUCAGACCUGGCUGCUGCAGAGCAGGAGAGGCAGCGGCUACAGGCCUCUGUGGAUGAACAAAGUCAGCAUGUCCAACAGGAAUGUCUGGAGAAACAGCAGCUCACCACCCAGGUGGAGCUCCAGCAUGUGGAGUUACUUACCCUCAAGAAGGAGCUCAGACAGCUGAAACAGCUCCACAGCUGUAAGAAGGAGGAGCACGAGGGUGUGGUACUGAAGCUUCAGAGUCAGCUAAGGAGCGUUCAUGAUGAGCUGGACCAGGUCAGGAGCACCCUGAGGACCCUUGAGGGAGCUGAUGGACAUGGCCUCCAAGCAGCCAUGGACAUGCAGGAGAAGAUCACUGCCAGGAGAGAACAGAUCGACUCCCUGCAGGGCAAAAUCCAACAUUUAGAAGAGACUGUGGAGAAGCUGUACCAGGAAAAGCGCUACCAGAGCCUGGAGCACCAGCGUCACCUCCAGGAACUUAGCGUCGUCAGUACGGAGAAGAGACAACUUAGCAACGAGCUGGAGGCCCUUCGCUCCAAAGAUAAACAGUUAAUGGAGCGGAUCGGCCAGCUGGAGGCAAUCCUUCACAAGUUAUCUCAUGACUGUCCACUGUCUAAGGAAGAUGUCAGAGAGCUUUGCAGACUGUCAAGAUUUUAUCCAGCUGCAGGAGCAGGAGUUUUUCCGUCUGAAACUCCAACAUGUCCUGGACUUAAAGGAGUUCAGAGGACAGAAUUUGCACACAGCUCUGAAUGUACCUCCACCUCACCUGACCCCUGUGUCCCCAUCUGCACUCACUGCUCAGCCCUCCUCCCAGCAAGCCUCCAACUCCCUGACCACGAGGCAGCAGGAGAGCCCCACCCAGGAGCUCAGGUCUCUUGUCAAAGAGCUGAGGGCCGUGAUUUCAGAGAACCACAGACCACACACAGAUAACAUCGCCGCUGGCAGCAGCUUCCACAGGAGGAGGUCCGCGCCGGAGAGAACCACACCCAAUACUGACAAGGCUGAAGAGGUAAAAGCUGACUGCAGAUUUAGAAGAAAAACCUGCACCAGGUAAGGAGCAGCCCCCCCAAACAUAACCAGGCCAGUGUCUUUGUUUGCAUGCUGUGUGAAUGACUUGCCUUGAGGCUAUGCGAUGGUCACACCAUCUAUCCAUGUGACCUCUUACCCCUCAUUCAACAUGCAAGGUGCCGGAAAGUGCUGCAGGCUGUGUAAUGUGACGUAAUGCAAGUCUGUUUGUGCAUACACUGUGUACAGCGAGCCACAUUUCCCGAAGACAGCUGAUCAAAACAGGAAAGUUAUCAUCAACAAAUCCUUCACUGAGAGUGAGUUUUCUUAACUUCUUCAACAAAUAUAUUUGGAGUUUGUUAACCCUUUCAUAAAUGCAGUGUUCAUCUUCAUACAAUGUAAGAUGACAGCUCCAACAAGUAGACGAUCAAUAAAUAAUCUACAGGUAUUUUAAUAACUGUUUAGUUGUUCAUUUAAGUGAUUGUUUUAAAAAGCAAAAGUGGUCACUCGGCUCUGGUUCUAAAUAUGAUGGGUAUUUU